rnacentral:lncRNA from 1 species
UAUUUUUAGAAAAAAAAAAAUUAUACAAAAUUUUUCUAGACUAUUUAUCACUUUGAAACAGUUAUUCGAUCUUUUAAAAUUUUAAAUUUACUAUCUAAUUUUUUUAAUUUAUUUAAUUUGAAUCAGUCAGUCAUGUUUUGACUUUAAGAUUUAAUUAAUUUCUUUUUAAUGAACGUAUAGCUGCGAUACUUGCAUAAAAAAUGCUAACUAAAUAAAUCUGAAAAGAUAAAGAGUACAGUCAAAUUUUAAAGUCAAAAUAUCGUUGAAAAAAAAUCGAAAUUUUAAAAGAUUGAAUAGUCGUUUCAAAAUGCAUGUUCCAUAUUUU